rnacentral:lncRNA from 1 species
AAGAAACCAAACUAUUAGACAAGCAUGGUUGGGCCAUUUUCUUGACAAAAAGAACUCUAAAAACUGAAUUUUACUUCAUAUAUAUGAAGCAGUGAACACUGUACCAUACAUGUUUGGUUUUAAGUCAAAAUUACACCUUUAUUAUUUUAAAUGUCUACCAAAAAUAAGUAACAUUUGCUUGACUAGCAGACCUAGGCACAGACAUAUGUUAAUAACUCUGAAAACAUUUUUAUUUUGUUUUUACAAAAAAAUUAUUUGAAAGGCAGAGUUAUGCGGUGGUGUGAAAGAAAAGAGUACAAGUAUGGGCCAGGGCUGGGCCACACAAAAGCUAGUAGCUGGAAAAUCUUGGUCUCCCACUUGGUUGGCACCCAACUAGUUGGGACAUACCCAUUGCCUUCUCAGGCCCAUUAGCAGGAACCCAAAUCAGUAGUACAGAGUUGCUGGGAAUUCAUCUGGCACUCAAUUAUGGCUGCAGACAUUGCAAGUGAUGGCUUUAUCCAUCACACUAUGCCUACUCCUUUACCAACAAAUUUCAGACAACCUAGUCUACCACAGAUUUAUUUAAGGCAUGGGCCCCAAGAGUACUUAGAUUAGUUUCUUUAUGUGAGUACACAUUUGUCCAUGUGCCAAAUUAUCAGAAAUAGUAAGGGUAUUUUACAUUACAGACACAACUAGUACCAUGUACAAAUGUGUAACACACACACAGUUCUCACCCUACAAAAUCACAUACCCAACAUGAACAAUCACUUACAACGAAUCAAUUGAUGUGGCCCAUGGGACACAUUCCCCUCCUCUGCUAUAGAUGGGUUCCUCUAGGUCCUGGUGCAGCUUCUCAAUUUCACCAAGAUGCUCUUCCCACAGGUCAGCCCCUGCAACCAUCCCACCAGGACAGAGAAAUGGGAGAGAGAAAAUGCUGGUUACUACUUUGCCAGAAGAAUGGACUUUGCCAGCAGCCCCUCAGCAAGAUCACUAUCCUCCUGCCAAUCCCUUUGUCUCCUCAUACAGGCACCCAGAGGACUUUGGUUAACUUUGGCCCAAGAGUAAAUGAGCUUUCAAAACCAGAGAGCCUCCUACUAAGAAAAUCCCAUGGACCUCCUCCCACACAGUUGUCUGCUAUAGCACUGAGGCCU